rnacentral:ribozyme from 1 species
CUGCCGCGUUGGAGUUUGGAUUGGCGACCGAACGGGAAGCUAUUAGAGGAAAGGUGACGCGUGGUGAUUGGGUGCCACGGCCGCCGAAGCGUGAUUUGCUGGCAUCCAUGGAGGAUGUCCGUG